GCAAGGCCCAGCAGCAGCGACUCCACUUCUCCCUGCAGGAAAUCCUUGUAAAGAGCACAGCAGACGUCUUGAUGACGCAAAGCAUGACUGGUGGCAUGAGUGACGGGGAGCGAGAGGGCGAGGCAAAGGGGAGAAUUUAAGAAGAAUGUGCGUAGGCCGUUCUGAUUGUUUAUUCCAGGUGAUGCAUAAUUUCUUGAAAAGCAUCUGAGUAGGAAACAGAUGGAAAGUUUUGAGUAAUCCAUACUGUAAGGAGAAGUACUCUAAAUGGCUUCAAAUAACUUGAUGUUUCUUUCACCCGCAUAUCAAACUUAAAAAAAAAAAAGUCACAGUAAUCUCAUUAUCCAAUUCAUCUGUGUUUUAACAUAACGCAAGUACAAACGGAUGUAUACUCUGCUUUCAGGAAAGCAAUUUCCUCAUCCAGUGCCUGCUCUAUGCCGGUAAAAGAGUUUAACUGAAGUGGACACCUGGCUUUCCAAGUGUAGGAAAGAUAGGGUGUUGCCUUCUUGGAAACUGCGCAAGAAUAAAUACGUGCCAGUGUUCGUUUGAGGAUUAUAUAACCAGUGGUCUGGCCUCACUGAGAGUACUGGACAAAGUAUUUCACUAUUGCAGAAGGGCUGUCCUCCUUUUCAGCGCAUUGGUUUGCUAUGCUCUGCAGAGAACAAGGCGUGGGGCUGGAGCGAGGAAAUCGGUAAGAACUUGGAAUGAAUAGCCUGAGGUGCGGAAAGGCGACCCAGGAUGUUGGAUUCCACUGUGAUCACAAAUGAUUGUUUAAAGGGGAAAACAAGGAGAAAAUUUGAGAAACCUGGAACAAAGUGGGAAAAAAUAAUGGAGGCGUCCUUACCAAUGCCCAGUCACAGACAGUGCUGGCCCCACAGAGAGAAUGCAGCUACCCGAGAGAACACAGAUAGAGGUGCUCAAGUUAGAGAGAGCUGCAGCAUCACUCAGUCAUUUGCAUCAGAAAGUAAAGCAGCUGUUCAAAAAUUUGCAAAGCAAAUUGGAGGGAAGCCAAGACUUUCAUAGAAAUUAGUUGAUGGAGAUUUCCUACAUGGAGACUUUUUCUUCAGCAAGUACAUAAACUGCAGCACAGACCUGUCUGCGAUGAGCAUUAAGAGCCCUGAAAUAAAGUAUGGGGCUCAACAGGGACUCUGAACAAUGUGGACCACCCAGAAGAGGGAGUCCAGGAAGAAUGCAGACUGUUCUCUCAGCCACAAUGCUGAGGUUUAAAACGUAUUAGUUCUUUAAUGAGGAAGAACAAGAAAUUGAGGGCAAAACACUCUGAAAUCUUUAGUUAUAAAGGCUCCAUUACAGUAUGGCUUUAGUUAUUCUUUUUUAAAAAUCCUCGUGCUCUUUAUAAAGUCAUAGUGAAAUCAGUCUGGUGCUUGACAUUGAAGAAACAGUGACCCAGACUUGGACAGACCCUGCCCUCAUGGAGUUUACGAUCCAAUAGGAGAGACUGACAUUAUACAAGUAAUCACACAAAUGUCAUUGCAAGAUUUGAUAAGUGUGUAGAAGAAAAAGAAGGGGUCAGUGAGGACAAUGUCAGAGGACUUUUGGAUUUAGGAGUCAGAGACAAGUUCUUUGAGAGAGCGACAGUAAUGCCGUGCCCUGAAGGAUCAGGGGGUAUUCGCCAGGAGAAGAGCUGCAGUAGACAAUACCUGGAACAGCAUGCUGAGGCUUAGGGAUGGGAACUGUGGGGUGUGGUCCAGGGACUGGGAGAGGCCUAUACUUGGAGCAUCCUCAGUGAGAUGGAGAGCUGGGGUGGUGGGGACACUGUGGGAUAUAAGGGAAGAGCUGGACCCCCAAGGAUUGUGUGGGCAACGUUAGCAUCUUCAUUUUUUCCCAAACACAGGGUAAGUCAUGGAAGGGAUUUAGGCACACAAGCGACAUAUUCCAAUUUAUAUUUUUAACGGAUCAUCCCAAUUGCAGUGUGGAAAACGAGUCUGUGGGUCUAGAAAGGAAAAGAGAAGUCUAUCAGGGAGGCUUUCAGCCUGGCCAUCAGAGUCAAGGUCAUGGCGAACACAACCAAAUACAGAGACCCCUUUGCUAAUACUAGAUCCUGAAAAGGUCAUGUCUGUCUUGGAGAGGGGGACUCCCCAUUCUACAAAAUGGCACCAAAACCACAGACGAGAUCACUGAUGUAAAGUUCCUCAAGCAAUAAAACAUUUUUUGGAUUA